rnacentral:lncRNA from 1 species
GGGACUACGCGGUGACGUCGAGGUGCGCGGCGCAGCGCGCGGCGUCAGUCUUGGCUGGCAGACCUGUACUCCGUACUCCGUACUUCGUAGUCGCAGCGGCGCGGUCUUCGGCAGUCUAGUCAUCCACCGCCAUCCUGGGCCCCACGUGUUGCCUGACCAUUCCUGAGCCCAGGCCAGGAAUAGUUGCUGAACACCCCAGGCCUGCUGAGGUCCCUCCUUGAGUCUCAUGUUCAAGCAGUCUUUGUCCAUGAAACUGGGAGGCGACCGUGUUAGCUGCCAGUUCCUGACAGCCACCUCUCACCAGUGGCUUCACUCUGUGUCCCUGACCCAGCACAUGGCACAAGAGUGCCUGCCAUCCGUCAGUGUUUCUACAGCAGCAAUCCCAAGAUGCUGGAGCUAGAGGGGACCUGACCUGAGAGAAGAUACCUUCAGUGGCUGCCAGGCUGUUCCUUGGAACCUGUGCAGGGAUGAGGCCUGCCUGUGUUAAUACACCUAGUGAGGAGUGGAGCUGAAUUUGAAUGCAAGCCUUGGCACCUUAAUUGAGCAAGUUUGAAACCUCGCUUGUUGCCCUUCUGGAAGGAGUCAGGAAUUUCCAGUUCUGGGCCUGGGCUGUGGGUCUGGCAGACAGACCUCUGGCCCUAGGUUUGGGUGCCAGGUUCUCUGCUUCCAGAAUGAGAAGCUUUGCUGUGCACCAGGACCUGGGCCCUUCUGGUAUCUCCUGAAUGAAAAACAAGGGAUAUUUAAUAAAUAUGGAUUUAAAUAUGUGAAAAAAAAAAAAAAAAA